rnacentral:lncRNA from 1 species
GAAGACAAAAAAUAGAGGAAAUCCAUAAAAAGUUGUUCAGAUCUCACAUGUAUCAUGCACUAAAAUACAUGCAUGUGUGUUUUGGCUGUGUUCUUCAAGUGAGAUAAACCUUCCAAGCCUAAUCCUAUCUUUUUCCUUCCUCUUCCAGUUUCUCUGUCCAAACCUAAUUCUAUCUUUAUCAUACUUUUCAAAAUGUGCUGGACAUAAAUUCCACAUCCGAUAAAUUCAAGAGUAUAAAUGUGUUAAUUAUAAGUAUGGUGGAG